GUCAGAAUAAUAAGCAGGGUGAGAGAAGAGCUUAUUCUUCCAAUUCCCAAUCACAAUCUUUACAGUGUCGUCAAGCAAAACCCAACACUAUUGCUGCUACGAUCGACACCACCCCAAAAGAGAACAAUAAUUUUGUCCUAGCUAGGUGGAACUGGAAGCGGAAUUAAUCUAUCGACACGGCCGGACUCUAACUCGAUCGAUCGGCGCGGGCACGCACGCGAUCGUCAGUGAUGGUGGUGGCCGUCCCCGGCGGCGGCGGCGCCCACGAUGUGAGCGAACUCGGUCUCGGAGGCGCAGGGGAUGGUGAGGCCGCCGCAGCGGUGGUCGAAGCCGAACUCGUCCUCCACCCGCUUCAGCAGCGUGACGAAGGCUGGGUGGCUGAGGCACGCCGUUGGGAUGACCAGCCGCUUCCGCCCCUCGCCCACGUACACCGCCAGGUGGCCCCGCGGCACGUCCGCCGUCGCCGACGGUCGGGUCCUCGCGAGGUGCAGCCUCGUCAUCAGCUGCUGCCCCAGCUUUCCCGCCGCCAUCUCUAGCUCUAGCUAUGUGUGUGUCGGUGAUUGUUGCACAAAGUCGUGUGUAUCUUUAUCUUCUUCGGUGAUUGUAGCUCUAGCUCUAGCUGCUGCUAGAUUUGGAGCUCAAGAGCUUUGUGUGGCGGCCUGUGCUGUGACUGUGAGGACCAAGGUUGGGCCGGUCUUUUAUAGCGCCUCGGACCAGCUAGCUCGGUCUCAG
rnacentral:misc_RNA from 1 species